UUGUAAAAUAUUUAUAACUCUGCUGUUGUGUCCGACAAUUUACAUGAACAAGUAAGAGUACAAACCAGAACAGAGACAAACUGCACCAUCAAUUGGUAAAUGAUUUAAAAUGACUUCAGGAUCUUGAAAGUAUGCAAUAAAAUUUGUAUUACUGUUCUUAUGAACUUCCGUAUAAAGUUUAGAGACAACAGCGGUAAUCAAAUUCCUUCAUUAAAGUGACAGUAACAUAUUGGAACAAAUAAGACUCAUGCAGGCACCUUUGGUAUAUGGAUGUUCUAUGUCAUAAGAUGAAGGUUACCGCCUAUGUCGUGGCACGUUGACUCUGAGUGUACAAGAUCUAAUUACAGAUCACUCACAACUACCCCAAAUUUUACAAAAAAAUGGAUAUACGCCAUUUUAAAAAAAAAACUUUCUUUAAUUAAAGGACCACUCUAGGCACCCAGACC